rnacentral:rRNA from 1 species
AUGGCGGCCGCCCCCGCCCCCGCCCCUUCGCCGCCGGAAGCGUCCCCGCCGCCCCUCGACGCCUCUGCCUCCGCCUCCGACGACGAGUGGGAUGCGGAUGGAUUUGUUAUUCCUGAUGUGACUAUUCAAGAUGAUGAUGAUGAUGUUACUACACACAGUGUCCCCAAAGCAAGGGAUCCUGAACCUCAGCAGGCUAAAGAGGAGAAGAUAUACCUGGGACCUCAUGGGGCGCCACCAUCAGGAGCAAAGCAGCAACAACUUAACACAGUUGGCCGUAAGCAGAGUGUCAGAAACAAGCUGAAGGAAGCAGAUAGGAAAUCCAGUGGCAAUGCUCAGGAGAACAAGGUGGAAAGCCUAAGAGAGCUCAUGGGGGCUGUGACAACAGAUGGUAGGGGCAUGGCGAAGAGUUCUCGUCGCGACUGGCUUGACCCACACUGUCGCGAGUCGGAGUUUGAUAGGAAACCGCGCUAG